rnacentral:pre_miRNA from 1 species
UCUCACAGAUGAGCGAAGAAAGUGGUUUCUUGAGAUAGAAUCUAUUCCUGAUAAAGAUGCUGUGAA